rnacentral:pre_miRNA from 1 species
UAUUAAAAACUCCAUCCAUUUGUAUUAUUAAAAACCAGCAUGGUUGACGAAAUAACUAAACAGUGACAUAUGAUGUGCCACGUGUAUCUCAUGUUGACGUAUAGAAAUUGAUGAAAUUUUUAAUA